UCCAAGGCCCGAAGAGACCAGAGUAUCAUUUAGUCUGAUCUCCUGCACAUCUCAGGCCACAGAACCUCACCCACCCACUCCUAUCAUAGCCCCUAACCUCUGGCAUCCUCCCUUGCAUCUCAUCCCCCCCCCCCCCCCGAUGUGUUAGUAUUACUAAUCAGGUUUAUUACAGUCAUACGGUACCUAAGGGCCAGGACCCGGGAAGCCAUAACACCUUGCCCAAAGAACAAACUGAGGCAAAGAAUGCUGCUGAGUUUACUUUAUUGAUCCAGCCCAACAGAGAGACCGAGAAGCCCUGUGAGCUGCCAGAGCCUGGGGUGAAGGGAGAACGUAUUUCAUAGCAGGGCUCUGCUAGCAGAAAGUGCAAGCAAAAGGGCCACUCUCAGCUCGGCACCACUGGGGAUUUGGCAUUCUCCAUACCGCUUGAGGGAUCUGAUUGUAACUGACUUGCUGUCUCUCUCCCCUGUCUACCGGGAGGAGGUACAAGAAGAGGAGAACAAGGCCAAUUGUAGGAAGCAGAAAAGGCUGCGUGAAAGGCAAAGCUGAGUGUUUUUCCAUAUCUGUCUAUCUGUGAUUGACCUAGAGAUCAGGGGAAAAUGACAAAGAAGAUCUGAAACUCACCUGACCUGCCCCAGUGGCAACACCUGGAACAAAAAACAGAGAAAAAAAGAUAAAAACAAAGCAGCAUCUUUGAUAAACAUCCAUUAGGAAAUAUUAAUCCUAAAGAACAAACAAAUACACUAUCUUAACCCUGGAAACCAACUGUUCUUUCCUGUAUUGAUGGCC